CCUACGGGAGGCAGCAGUGGGGAAUAUUGGACAAUGGGCGCAAGCCUGAUCCAGCCAUACCGCGUGGGUGAAGAAGGCCUUCGGGUUGUAAAGCCCUUUUGUUGGGAAAGAAAAGCAGUCGAUUAAUACUCGGUUGUUCUGACGGUACCCAAAGAAUAAGCACCGGCUAACUUCGUGCCAGCAGCCGCGGUAAU
rnacentral:rRNA from 1 species